CACUCACAGAGUGACGUUUCUUUGCAGGA
rnacentral:piRNA from 1 species